AGCACAACUCCUCCUAAACAUAGUUGAAAGUUGAAACACUACAACAGUCUGUCCAGAAGAAAAAGUGAGGCAAGUUCAGAGUGUCUCUACCCUACUCGAUCGAGGACUUCCACGUUUUAGUGUCAAAAAUCCUUGCACUCAAGGAAAACAAAGUCCUGUCUCCCGCUGACAAACAUCAUUUAUCCCGCUGGCACUGCGCUGGCACUGAUCAGGAUUAAACUUCUCACCUAAAUCAUUCUUAAUUGCUCCAAAGUUCAGAGCAAACUUCAAAAUGAGUAAAUAGUUGAAAAUAAAUCAAUAGACAAAACUAUUUUUCCAGAAUGUCAUUAUGCAUUUGAAAAGAAUUGAUUUGCAAAUUUGAAAAGUUACUAAUGUUAGAAGCACAUUUUGUUGCGGUACGUCAAAUCUCGGAAAAAUAACAAUACUGACCUUUGACCUACUAAAGGUCUCGUCCUCAGGGUAAUAUGUAGAACAUCUUGGAUACGAGAGCAAGCGAUACGGUCCACGAUUGGUUGUUUUUAACUCGUGACUAAAUCUGACCAAUCACAUCACUGAUUUUCAGACUACCACUUCCCGCCUUUGGAUCCAAGAUGGAGGGAGGUUGCUCCAUCUGUCCAUCUUGAUAUGAGCUGCAGUAAAGGCAUCUGUUUUCAAGUGUCUACUACAGGCUAGUGAGCUGAGAUGUCCAUGUUGAACCCUGGCACCAGCCUCCACUUUGAUGGACAGGCACUUCAGGAUGAGGCUGAGGCUGAGUUUGAGAAGGAGGACAGGGAGAGGGAGAAAGAGGUCAGAGGUCACCUCCAGCCAUGGGGCUGCUUCCUUUUACCUCCCACCUAUUCUGUCAACUUUCCUUGAUUCCUUGUCUGUCUGUGUUUUUUGUAUGAAAGUGGUUUUGAAAAUUGGUUGAUUUGAAGGCAUGCAUGUGUCUACAGUGCAUUUGGUUAUAAAUGAUGCAAGUCUAAAGGUGAACCACAGUUUAGUUCACAGAAGAGCUGUUCUUCCACCGAUCAUGACAGGUAAGAUUUGAACAGGUUCAUUGUACCAAGGAACUGGUACUUUUUAACAAGCACAAUGAACAGUAGACCAUGGCUUGAAAACCCGUCCUAAGACUGCAACCCUUUCCAGUAGCGUACAUAUCUGGGAAGCGACAACAGUCAGGGUUGGAGCUUCUAACCUUGGGUCACUCAACACUUGACUGCGCACACUACACAUCCCAGGAUUUCAAGGCUUUUCAGCAGCAGUGCAUGCUCCAUUUCCUAAGCAAAUGAGUGCAAUUCCGUUUGUCAGCUGAUUUUUGUUUAACCCAAGCUGAUGGUCCCUUGGCUUGAACGUUAUGCAGCUUUCCUGGGUCCUCUUGACAAAGGAACUGUCUGGUGUCUAGCGGUAAUGCGUGGGGAUUUUGCUUUUCUCAACCGCAUACCAGUAGUUUAAGAGAUCAACAACUUUAAGAGAUCAACAACUAGGACAGUUGGUAGAGGAUUCAGUGCAUUGACCAAGAAGGAUUCUGUGAGGGAGGUAGAAGCAACAAAAUGGAAAGCAAAGUAAAAGAAUAAUAUUUAACCUAUCAAAACUACUGAAGAAGAAAGAAUUACCUAGUUCUACUAUUUUUAUUGGCUGUCUUGUAUACUUGCAUAUCUCAAGCUCUUGGUUCUGCUGUGAGUUGGCCCACUGCAUCAUCGAACUGCGAGCUUGACAAAUUUUGCAAUUUUCUAGGAAACUAGAUGUGUAUUACUAGUGCUAGCCCAACUUAUGAAACAGAUCAAAGCUCUCUUAAAUACCUGUUUUGUGACUUAAAUUAAAACAUUUACUUAGAUCUUUCUACCACAAUAAGAAAACGUCACUGUGAUAAAAACGUUGCCUGAGGAUUUGGCGCCAUUAUCGAAUCAAAGCGAGACCGCAGUCUCGUGACUCCCGUAAGUACAUGGUAGGAUUCCUACAAUGUAAUGAUUAUAACUUUUAGUAGGUUUGCUGCCAUGGUAACCUUCCUAUUCGUUUCCAAACAAGAAACGGAGCAUAUAUCUCUUUGAUUUGAACAUUCCUCGCUAUUCAGGGCAUCCUUUUGUAGGUGUCUUAAGAAGAAAGAUGGUGUCAGAGAAUGACACCGGUAUGGUGGAAAAAAUUCCGCCACGAAAAUAGAUACGAAUUUAUCUUGAGCAUGCAGUGCUGCUAAAUGAAAAAUUGAACUAUUAGAAUCUGUUCCAAUGUUGGCAUGUGUGACCAGGAAACUACAUUGUUUUUGCCAGAGGAAGAUAGCCAAGCGUCAUCCUGGAUUAAG